GAACCCAAAAGUAAUGUGGCCAAUUGUCCUGUCCAGAAUGAAAGCCUUUAGCAUGGUAUGCCUUGUUUUGGCUACAAUUCUUGUUCUCUCCUCCUCUUCAACUGUUGCUCGACGAUUACUUGAAUAUCAUUGCCGGCCGACAGGAAACCCAGCGCAAUCCAGUGGACGCCAUUCACCUAGUGUGCCUAGUCCACCAUUAUCCUGCGAGAAAGGUAGUGACGUCCCAGCGCCUUGUCCAAAGGGUUGCUAGACCAACACAAGUCGAAAUUUAGAAACACCUGAUGCUUACUCUCCUGCCAAUUAUAUAAGACAAUUACACAAGAAAAUUAGACAGAUAAAAAGAAAUUUUUACAAUGAUGUGUGUUCAGUGUUGGUAAACAUGUUAUUGAUCAGCUUGCAACCUCGUCUGUAGUAGAUUAUCAUGUAACCCCUUUGCUGGAGGUUAGACAAUUAAUAAUACAAGUUCUUAAUGUCUGGCA